ACGGCGGUGGGUCGGUGAUCCUUGCUCCAGCUCCCUACCUUAGUGGCCCAAGUUGAAUGUCCAGGAAGCGGGAGCUGCAAGCUCGCUCCAUGCGGAAAUGUCCUGGUUUGAAUGAUAAAUUACAUUAUCACUCUUUGAGUGACUACAAGAAGUACAGUACUGCUGGAAUAGACAACUGAGGAAGAUGAAGCUACAUGGGGGCCGGGCCAUAUAGGGUCCUAUGGCCAGUGAGCUGAUAUACAGGUGGCAUGAACCUGGAGCAGCAAGAAUGGUACAUCCAAGCUCCUUCCCUGGGAACUAAACAUCUCAGCAUCAAGACAUCAUGCUUUGAACUAUGUCUGUGA
ensembl:lncRNA